rnacentral:rRNA from 1 species
AUUGAACGCUGGCGGCAGGCCUAACACAUGCAAGUCGAACGAGUGGCGGACGGGUGAGUAAUGUAUGGGGAACUGCCCGAUGGAGGGGGAUAACUACUGGAAACGGUAGCUAAUACCGCAUACCAUCGGAUGUACCCAUAUGGGGUUAGCUAGUAGGUGGGGUAACGGCUCACCUAGGCGACGAUCCCUAGCUGGUCUGAGAGGAUGACCAGCCACACUGGAACUGAGACACGGCCCAGACUCCGACGGGAGGCAGCAGUGGGGAAUAUUGCACAAGGGGCGCAAGCCUGAUGCAGCCAUGCCGCGUGUAUGAAGAAGGCCUUCGGGUUGUAAAGUACUUUCAGUGGGGAGGCGUUACUCGCAGAAGAAGCACCGGCUAACUCCGUGCCAGCAGCCGCGGUAAUUC